rnacentral:rRNA from 1 species
AUUGAACGCUGGCGGCAGGCCUAACACCUGCAAGUCGAACGAGUGGCGGACGGGUGAGUAAUGUCUGGGAAACUGCCUGCUGGAGGGGGAUAACUACUGGAUACGGUAGCUAAUACCGCAUACCAUCGGAUGUGCCCAGAUGGGAUUAGCUAGUGGGUGGGGUAACGGCUCACCUAGGCGACGAUCCCUAGCUGGUCUGAGAGGAUGACCAGCAGCACUGGAAGGAAGACACGGUCCACACACCUACUGGAGGCAGCAGUGGGGAAUAUUGCACUAUUGGCGGAAGCAUGAUGCAGCCAUGCAGAUAGUGUGAAGAAGGCCUACGGGGUGUAAAGCACUUGCAGCGUGGAAGCGAUGCCCGCAGAAGAAGCACCGGCUAACUCCGUGCAGGCAGCCGCGGUAAUAC